rnacentral:rRNA from 1 species
GCUACAGGCUUAACACAUGCAAGUCGAGGCGUUUCGGGAAGAAAGCUUGCUUUCUUUGCCGGCGACCGGCGCACGGGUGAGUAACACGUAUCCAACCUGCCCUUUACUCGGGGAUAGCCUUUCGAAAGAAAGAUUAAUACCCGAUAGUAUAAUGAUUCCGCAUGGUUUCAUUAUUAAAGGAUUCCGGUAAAGGAUGGGGAUGCGUUCCAUUAGGUUGUUGGUGAGGUAACGGCUCACCAAGCCUUCGAUGGAUAGGGGUUCUGAGAGGAAGGUCCCCCACAUUGGAACUGAGACACGGUCCAAACUCCUACGGGAGGCAGCAGUGAGGAAUAUUGGUCAAUGGGCGCUAGCCUGAACCAGCCAAGUAGCGUGAAGGAUGAAGGCUCUAUGGGUCGUAAACUUCUUUUAUAUAAGAAUAAAGUGCAGUAUGUAUACUGUUUUGUAUGUAUUAUAUGAAUAAGGAUCGGCUAACUCCGUGCCAGCAGCCGCGGUAAUACGGAGGAUCCGAGCGUUAUCCGGAUUUAUUGGGUUUAAAGGGAGCGUAGGUGGACUGGUAAGUCAGUUGUGAAAGUUUGCGGCUCAACCGUAAAAUUGCAGUUGAUACUGUCAGUCUUGAGUACAGUAGAGGUGGGCGGAAUUCGUGGUGUAGCGGUGAAAUGCUUAGAUAUCACGAAGAACUCCGAUUGCGAAGGCAGCUCACUGGACUGCAACUGACACUGAUGCUCGAAAGUGUGGGUAUCAAACAGGAUUAGAUACCCUGGUAGUCCACACAGUAAACGAUGAAUACUCGCUGUUUGCGAUAUACAGUAAGCGGCCAAGCGAAAGCAUUAAGUAUUCCACCUGGGGAGUACGCCGGCAACGGUGAAACUCAAAGGAAUUGACGGGGGCCCGCACAAGCGGAGGAACAUGUGGUUUAAUUCGAUGAUACGCGAGGAACCUUACCCGGGCUUAAAUUGCAGUGGAAUGAUGUGGAAACAUGUCAGUGAGCAAUCACCGCUGUGAAGGUGCUGCAUGGUUGUCGUCAGCUCGUGCCGUGAGGUGUCGGCUUAAGUGCCAUAACGAGCGCAACCCUUAUCUUCAGUUACUAACAGGUCAUGCUGAGGACUCUGGAGAGACUGCCGUCGUAAGAUGUGAGGAAGGUGGGGAUGACGUCAAAUCAGCACGGCCCUUACGUCCGGGGCUACACACGUGUUACAAUGGGGGGUACAGAAGGCAGCUAGCGGGUGACCGUAUGCUAAUCCCAAAAUCCUCUCUCAGUUCGGAUCGAAGUCUGCAACCCGACUUCGUGAAGCUGGAUUCGCUAGUAAUCGCGCAUCAGCCACGGCGCGGUGAAUACGUUCCCGGGCCUUGUACACACCGCCCGUCAAGCCAUGGGAGCCGGGGGUACAAGAAGUACGUAACCGCAAGGAUCGUCCUAGGGUAAAACUGGA